UACUCUCACACUCUCCGAUCCUUUGGAUUUGGGGAGUGGUGGACUUGGGUGCUUGCUGCUUUUGUUGUGGCUCACCUUAAAUGUGUCAGUGCAUCUCUUGAUUGGACAUAGUACGGCGUGAUAAGUGUCUUCGCCGGCGCCUCACUUGUUGAGGGUGGCCGAUCGGGAGCUCUGUGCUUCAAACCGUCUUCGGACAACAACUGACA
rnacentral:misc_RNA from 1 species